CUGCCAGUUCCUGUGAAGGUAGAAACCUCAAAGUUGCAGUAUUCUUUCUGCGAGUCUGUGGGAGCUGGUGAAAAGAAGGCCCUUGUUCUGGUGUGAGGAAGACUAUCUUUUCAACAGUUUAUGUAGUAAGCAGUCUUGGAAGAUACUGAUGGUGUCUCCCUCUGGACCAGAGGCAGGUUUGUGUACAGCCUUCGAAGAUAGCCAUAAAAUCUACCUCUGGAGAAAAAGGCUGGAAUAUAGACAGAUGUGGAUGAGCUUUAAUCAUGUGAAUGAAGAUUGCAUGCUGUGAUAAGAACAGACUAGAAGGAACCAGGGUCCCUGUAUGAUCUUCCAAAGCAGGGUGCCCACUCACCCUUUAUCACCUCCCUGCCUCUGGAUGUUAUAUGAAAGAGAAAUAAACUUUAA